CUUGAACAUAGGCGCCGGCCCUCAGAGUCCACUGCUGUGUUGGAGGGCGCCUAUGCUCAAGCUCCGCCCAGUGGAAACUGUGGUCUCUCCUGGCUGCCUGUGGGAAGAAAGUCCCCUUCUGGCUGCUUAUGGAUCAAGACGUGGAACUCUCUCAUCUCCAGUACCACGUCUGCCUGGAUACUGCCAUGCGUCCUGCCAUGAUGAUAAUGAACUGAACCUCUGAAACUGUCAGCCAGUUGUAAUUAAAUGUUUUUCUUUAUAAGAGUUGCCUGGGUCAUGAGUCUCUUCACAGCAAUAAAACCUUAACUAAUAAACUGGAGAGAUGGCUCAGAGGUUAAGAGCACUGACUGCUCUUCCAGGGGUCCCGAGUUUAAUUCCCAGCAAUCACGUAGUGGCUCACAACCAUCUGUAAUGGGAUCUGAUGUCCUCUUCUGGUGUGUCUGAAGACAGUGACAGUGUACUCAUAAAAUAAGUAGAUAAAUCUUUAAAAGAAAAAAACAAAACCUUAACCAAAACAGGCAGCAAGAGGACACGAGAGGAGUGGACCAAGAGGCCAAGAUAGCACAUUGGAACCAAGAAAGCACAUGGACAAAUGGCCUACAUAAGGACUCAGAAGGAAUUGGAUGUCCAGAACAGUUGCCCCUUCCCACUUCCUGUGUGCCAGUUCUUUACAGACUAUCCAAUUGGGAAGAGACACAGGUGUGGAGGAUAUGGAAAGCAACCUUGUAAAGAAAAACGUGGGAUGUUGAGCGAGGCGCUACAGGCUUCCGCGACCAGUGCACGGCAUUCGAUCUUAGAUGGCUCCCGGAACACCCGUGAGAUAGCAAAAAGAAACCAAGGCCAGGGGAGACGCUGCUGCCACAUCUUCCCUGAAGUCCUAACAGGUGACCAUGCCUCGCCCCACCCCUCCUGCUUUUCUGACUAACUUUAUAGGGCAGGGCUUUCAUUGGAGCUUGGUGAUGGUGUGGCGAGAGAUGCUAUUGGCCCUGGAUUUAGGGUUUGGGAUUGGCUUGAACACUUACAUAAGCGUAGGCUCUGUGCAAGCAAUAAACAUUGCACUCUGAUGCUGUCUCCGGAUUCU
rnacentral:lncRNA from 1 species